rnacentral:rRNA from 1 species
GGGGAAUAUUGGGCAAUGGGCGAAAGCCUGACCCAGCAACGCCGCGUGAAGGAAGAAGGCCCUCGGGUUGUAAACUUCUUUUAUUCGGGACGAAACAAAUGACGGUACCGAAUGAAUAAGCCACGGCUAACUACGUGCCAGCAGCCGCGGUAAUACGUAGGUGGCGAGCGUUAUCCGGAUUUACUGGGUGUAAAGGGCGUGUAGGCGGGACUGCAAGUCAGAUGUGAAAAUUAUGGGCUCAACCCAUAACCUGCAUUUGAAACUGUAGUUCUUGAGUGAUGGAGAGGCAGGCGGAAUUCCGUGUGUAGCGGUGAAAUGCGUAGAUAUACGGAGGAACACCAGUGGCGAAGGCGGCCUGCUGGACAUUAACUGACGCUGAGGCGCGAAAGCGUGGGGAGCAAACA